UACGAAGGGGGCUAGCGUUGCUCGGAAUUACUGGGCGUAAAGCGCACGUAGGCGGCUUCUUAAGUCGGUGGUGAAAUCCUGGAGCUCAACUCCAGAACUGCCUUCGAUACUGGGAAGCUUGAGUCCGGGAGAGGUGAGUGGAACUGCGAGUGUAGAGGUGAAAUUCGUAGAUAUUCGCAAGAACACGAGUGGCGAGGGCGGCUCAGUGGCCCGGUACUGACGCUGAGGUGCGAAAGCGUGGGGAGCAAACAGG
rnacentral:rRNA from 1 species